CAAAGAUGCAUGGACCAAUCAG
rnacentral:miRNA from 1 species